ACUCCUACGGGAGGCAGCAGUGGGGAAUCUUGGACAAUGGGGCGAACCCUGAUCCAGCCAUGCCGCGUGAGUGAUGAAGGCCUUAGGGUCGUAAAGCUCUUUCGCCUGUGAUGAUAAUGACAGUAGCAGGUAAAGAAACCCCGGCUAACUCCGUGCCAGCAGCCGCGGUAAUACGGAGGGGUUAGCGUUGUUCGGAAUUACUGGGGCGUAAAGCGCGCGUAGGCGGAUUAGUCAGUUAGAGGUGAAAUCCCAGGGCUCAACCCUGGAACUGCCUUUAAUACUGCUAGUCUUGAGUUCGAGAGAGGUGAGUGGAAUUCCGAGUGUAGAGGUGAAAUUCGUAGAUAUUCGGAGGAACACCAGUGGCGAAGGCGGCUCACUGGCUCGAUACUGUCGCUGAGGUGCGAAAGUGUGGGGAGCAAACAGGAUUAGAUACCCUGGUAGGAUAGCG
rnacentral:rRNA from 1 species